rnacentral:other from 1 species
UCUUCCCUGCGUGGUUCGUGAUGAACUUAUUUUAAACCCACAUUUUUACUACGGGAUUACGGUCUCCCAGCGUGGUUUGCAGGCCUCCCGGCAGUAUGCCGGAAGUUGGAAGCAAUAAAGCAAUGGGGAGUAAACCCACCUGCUAGCUGUGCAGGUUCUUAAAAUCUGUUCACACGACCAGUGUGGGGACACU